UAAUAGUCUCAGCUGGCAGAGCAUGAGAGUAUUAAUUUCAGGGUUGUGGGUUCAAGCCCCACAGUGGGCAAAA